rnacentral:rRNA from 1 species
AUGCACACGUACCUCUCCCCGAGAGUCAGUGCUAUCCUUUGCUCACAAGCAACCAAGCACUUCUUGCUCAGAUCCAUUCUAUUCUCCACCUUGCCCUGUACUCGUGCUUCUCUGUUCUUGCGAGUCCCUGGUGUUCCAAUGGCGGCGGUGGUGGCCACCAUGGUGGUCGGACCACUGGUCAAGAUCGUGAUGGAGAAGGUGUCCGGGGAGCUCCUCCGCCAGUAUAAGGUGAUGAAGGGCUUGGAUAAGCAACAUGAUAUCUUGAAGCGCAGACUGCUUCUCAUCCUAGAUAUCAUCACCGAUGCCGAGCAAACGGCAGCCGACCCUGUGCAGGCGGCAACCCGUCGUGCAGGGGCGGCGUCUUGGCUCGAGGCCAUCAAGAAGGUGGCUUACCAGGCAAAUGAAGUCUUUGAUGAGUUCAAGUACGAGGCACUUCGCCGUAAGGCCAAAAAGGAGGGACACUAUGACGACCUUGGCUUCAGUAUGGUAAAACUCUUUCCCACCCACAACCGUUUUGUAUUCUGUAACAGGAUGGGGAGAAAGCUCGGCAAGGUUGUGCGGGCCAUUGAGCUCCUUGUGACCGAAAUGAAUAACUUCGGUUUUAAAUAUCAGCAACAACUGCCGGUAUCCAACCAGUGGCGGCAGACAGAUCAUGUUAUAUUCGAUCCAAAGGGAAUUGCCCAGAGAUCGAGAGAGAAGGAUAACAAGAUUAUUGUUGAUAUACUAGUUGGGCAAGCUAACAACACAGAUCUUACAGUUGUUCCCAUCAUUGGAAUGGGGGGUCUGGGAAAGACUAUGUUGGCACAACUUGUUUACAAUGAACCUAAAAUCGAUAAUCACUUCGAUUUGUUGCUAUGGGUGUGUGUCUCUGACAGUUUUGAUGUGGAUUCUCUGGCUAAAAGUAUAGUUGAAGCAGCUCCCGAGAAGAAUUAUGAUGGUACAGAAGCAGCAGUUCCUUCCAAAAGGAAGAACACACCACUGGAUAUCCUUCAGAAUCUGGUGAGCAAACGAAGGUACCUCCUUGUAUUGGAUGAUGUUUGGACACGAGAGGUUCGUAAAUGGGAAAAGCUCAAGACCUGCCUUGAACAUGGUGGCAAGGGUAGUGUGGUCUUGACAACAACUCGUGAUGAAGGAGUUGCGGAAAUAAUGGGUAGUGUUGAAGCUUAUAAUCUCGGAGCUUUGGGAGGAGAAUACAUAAAGGAAAUUAUCGAGACAACAGCAUUCAGCCGUUUCAAGAAGGAAGUGGAAAGGCCCGCCGUGUUGGUGAAUAUGGUUGAUGAGAUUGUGAAGCGAUGUGCUGGCUCUCCUUUAGCUGCAAUAGCGUUGGGCUCCGUACUGCGUAACAAGACCAGUGAGGAAGAAUGGAAGGAUGUAUCAAACAGAAGCAGCAUUUGCACUGCGGAGUCUGGAAUCUUACCGAUACUCAAUCUCAGUUACAAUGAUUUGCCGCAGCAUAUGAAGCAAUGCUUUGCUUUUUGUGCUAUAUUUCCCAAAGAUUACAAGAUUGAUGUGGACAAACUAAUACAACUAUGGAUUGCACAUGGCUUUAUUCUUGAAGAGAAACAAGUUCGUCUUGAAACCAUUGCCAAACAGAUUUUUAAUCAACUGGCAUCAAGGUCAUUCUUUCAGGAUGUUAAACAAGUCCAAGCCACAGCUGAUGAAAUUAAUUACAGCAAGUCUUGUUAUUCCAGAACUACAUGUAAAAUCCAUGAUCUUAUGCAUGAUGUUGCAUUGUCUGUAAUGCAGAACGAAUGUGCCUUGGGAACUGAGGAAUCAUGUCGGAGUGAGUGGCUUCCAAACACCGCUCGACAUAUAUUUCUGUCAUGCACGGAAGCAGAAAGAAGGUUGAAUAGUUCUCUGGAGAACAGCUCUCCAGCUAUCCACACAAUUCUCUGUGAUGGUUAUAGUUAUAUGGAAUGGUCAUUGCAGCAUCCAUCAAAAUACAGCUCUUUGCAAGCAUUACAACUCAGGUUGCAAACAUCAUCAUUUCCGCUGAAACCAAAGCAUCUACAUCACCUGAGGUACCUAGAUCUCUCAAGAAGUUUAAUCAAAGCACUUCCUGAAGAUAUGAGCAUUCUAUACAACCUGCAAGUGUUGAACCUCUCUGGAUGCACAUCUCUUUGUGAACUUCCAAUACAAAUGAGGUAUAUGACUGCCCUUCGUCACCUUUACACUCAUGGUUGUCCAAUGCUAAAGAGCAUGCCAAGAGACCUCAGAAAACUCACAUCCCUUCAGACACUUACAUGCUUUGUAGUAGGUAGUGGCUCUAAUUGCAGUAAUGUUGGAGAGCUCGAGAAUUUGAAACUUGGUGGUCAACUAGAGCUACGUCAUCUACCGAACGUGACUGAAAAAGAUGCCAGCACGGCAAACCUCGUGAACAAGGAGCUAAGGGAACUGACAUUAAAAUGGACUGUUGAACAAGAUUUUUGUGAAACUCGCUGUCGAGUUGAUGAAAAUGAUGCAAGAGUGCUUGAGAAACUCAAACCUCAUGAUGGACUGCAUACUAUAAGGAUACACUUGUAUGGAGCCACCACCUUUCCAACAUGGAUGGCAAGUUUGCAAAAUAUUGUUCAGAUCCAUCUUUUCUCUUGUAUAAAACUGCAAUGGUUGUUCAGCCAUGACAGUAAUACAUCCUUCGCAUUUCCAAAUCUGACAGAGCUUACGUUACGAAGCCUCGAUAAUUUGGAGAGAUGGUGGGCAAUGGAUAAUGAUGAGAUGCAAGGAGAGAUAAUCUUUCCUCGGCUUGAGAAAUUGUUUAUUAGUUUCUGUAAGAAGCUGACAGUAUUACCAGGACAUCCGACCUUCCCUAACCUUCAGAAUGCUCAUAUUGAGGCAUGUCCAGAGUUGACAACUAGAGCUAAAUCACCAAAGCUCAGUGUAUUGAAGACGGAAGGAUGUGAGGCAGAGUUGUUCCUGUGGGUAGCUAGACAUAUGACUUCAUUGACCAAUCUGAAACUGAAAAGCCUUGAAUACAACACAGAAACUAUCUUGACUGAGGCUGAGCAUGGUCUGAGGGAAGUUGUGGACGGCAAGGAAAAACGGAAUGAUCAUGAUUUUCCUCUGGCAGUUUUGGAGUUAGACCGAAUUAAGUACUCAGGUGUAAUAGAGCUGUGUGCAUGUUUUGUACACCUUCAAGAUUUGUCAAUUCAGCGGUGUGAUGGGCUCGUCCACUGGCCAGAAAAGGAGUUCCAAGCAUUGGUAUCCUUGAGGAGGCUUGUGAUCUACGGGUGUGAUAAUCUCAUUGGAUAUGCACAAGCUCCUGCCGAGCCAUCAACUUCAUCAGAAACAAGUCAGUUCCUGCCACAUCUAGAGUCUCUGGAGAUAAAAUUUUGCGGAAGCCUGGUUGAGGUCUUCAAUGCCCCUGCCUCUCUCAAGAGAAUGGAAAUUCUUUCUUGCAGUAAGCUUGAGUCCAUAUCCUGCAGGAGGUUGCAGCCAGAACAGUCGGCAUUGUCAAUUAAUCAAGUCUCAUCUAGUAUACCGGAUGCAUCAUCAUCAUCGCCCGGAGCUGGAGUGGAGCAUUUAGAAAGCCUAACAUUAUUCAGGUGUCAUGGCUUAACAGGGGUCCUCCAUCUUCCCCCUUCCCUGACGUAUCUAAAAGUUUUUGAGUGUGAAUGGUUGACAUCUCUGGAAUCUAGCUCCGGAGAGCUCCCAUCGUUGGAGAUUCUUGAGCUUCUGGAAUGCAAGACCCUUUCAUCCCUACCGGAUGGGCCACAAGCAUACGCAUCUCUCCGAUGUCUUCGCAUUAGAGACGUCCCUGGCAUGAAGACGCUUCCUAUGAGCCUGCAGCAAAGGCUGGGCAGCAUCCAGACGAAACACAUAGAUGCCCAUCUUUAUGAAGAGACGCCAAGGCCUGUCCCUACCCUGUUGAAACCAAAGACAUGGAAAUAUGCCAUCUGCAAUAAUUAG